rnacentral:sRNA from 1 species
GAGAGGGGAGGAUUUGAGAGAGAGAGAGAGACAGACAGACAGAGGAGUUCAGAAAGAGAGAGGACAGAGAGGGAGUGAUAGCAGAGAGGCUUUGAGUGUUGCACGGCACGAGGAGGAAGAAAGAAGACGAGUCUGAGGGUUAUACAUUUUAAAUCUUUACCUGGCGGAUCGGGCGACGGAGUACGCGGCGGGAGAGCCGCUAUCGCUGUGCUAGAAUACCUCGCCGCUGAGUUUGAUUGGUUAAGAUUUUCAUGUUUAUUGGCAUUGUGUUGGAGCGAGUGCCCUUUUGAAAUUUCAUUUUUUUUUCUUUCUGUUUCUCAUUAAUUUUCUUAAUCUCUAAUUUUUAGAUUUUUAGUAGAAAAAAGAAAAAGAAAAAGGAAAAUAAAAUUGAGGUUGUAGAUUAUUGGUAUAUAAAAAUUUUGUAAUUUUUU